rnacentral:rRNA from 1 species
UACGUAGGGUGCGAGCGUUGUCCGGAAUUAUUGGGCGUAAAGAGCUUGUAGGCGGUCUGUCGCGUCUGCUGUGAAAAUCCGGGGCUCAACCCCGGUUCGCACUGGAAACUGGUAGGCUAGAGUGCAGAAGAGGAGAGUGGAAUUCCACGUGUAGCGGUGAAAUGCGUAGAUAUGUGGAGGAACACCAGUGGCGAAGGCGAGUCCCUGGACAACUCCUGACACUGAGGCACGAAAGCUAGGGGAGCAAACAGG